GUCAAAUAAGCCCUUAAACAUUAUUCAAGAAGUCAAUUAGGCCUUUCAACUUUCAAAUGUUGCAAUUAAACAUACGAACAUGUCAUUUUGGAGCAAUAAGACCCACAAACCUAUUGGGGACCUAUGAUUAUAGGUCACCUAGAAUUUUGACCAACUCCUGUGAACCGUCCGAUAAAUUUCCGGCAACAGUGUCAAAUACUAGCGACUGUUACGGUCGCCGGUCUUUGGACCACAACACACCGGAGAAGGGCCGCCAUAAAACAAGAACGCAAGAUUUCCAAGUCUUCUUCUUGGACCAAAGCGGUGGUGAAGAAAUGGUUGAAUAUACCGAGCGCCGCCGAUGAGUUCCAAUCGGAUUACACCAUAAAUAGUAGGAUGAACAUAGUUAAACGGAGAAGGAAGAGCUGUUCCAACGAGAGCGACCAUGCUGUCGUGCCGGAGGAAUUAUCAGGUGCGUUUCUCGGCGGUUCUUUAGAACUUCCGUACGAUGGAUAGGUUCAUUAUGUGAUUGGACAUCAGAGAGGGUGUAAUUGCGAAAAUGAGAGAAUCAGAAAGUUUUGUGGGCCCCUUUUUACGGUGGCCGGUAUUUGACAUUGUUGCCGGAAAUUUAUUGGACGAUCAUUGGAGGUUCGCCGUAAUUCUAAGUGACCUGUAAUUACAGGUCACCAACAUGUUUGUGGACUUUAUUGCUCUAGAAUGACAUGUUCAUGGGUUUAAUUGUAAUGUUUGAAAGUUAGAGGGCCUAAUUGACUUCUUGAGUAAUGUUUAGGGGCUUAUUUGACCCUU